rnacentral:tRNA from 1 species
UGGCAGAAUGGAUAACGCGUCUGACUACGGAUCAGAAGAUUCCAGUUUCAACUCCUGG